CUUUCUUUCUUUCCCGUUCUUUUUUUUCUCUAUUUCUUCUUGCUUUCUUCUUCUUCUUUCCAUUUCCUAUUCUUCUUCCUCCUCUUCUCAUUCUUCUUUUCCUUUAUCAUCAUCUUAUUCUUCUUGCUUUAUGAAAAAAUUAAAAAAUAAGGAGUUAAAAAAUUUAAGAAGUAUGGAAGGAAAGAUUUUUGUGAUUUGGGU
rnacentral:lncRNA from 1 species